rnacentral:rRNA from 1 species
CAUGCGGCCGCCUACCAUGCAGUCGAGCGGAUGACGGGAGCUUGCUCCUUGAUUCAGCGGCGGACGGGUGAGUAAUGCCUAGGAAUCUGCCUGGUAGUGGGGGACAACGUUUCGAAAGGAACGCUAAUACCGCAUACGUCCUACGGGAGAAAGCAGGGGACCUUCGGGCCUUGCGCUAUCAGAUGAGCCUAGGUCGGAUUAGCUUGUUGGUGAGGUAAUGGCUCACCAAGGCGACGAUCCGUAACUGGUCUGAGAGGAUGAUCAGUCACACUGGAACUGAGACACGGUCCAGACUCCUACGGGAGGGAGGGGGUGGGGAAUAUUGGACAAUGGGCGAAAGCCUGAUCCAGCCAUGCCGCGUGUGUGAAGAAGGUCUUCGGAUUGUAAAGCACUUUAAGUUGGGAGGAAGGGCAGUAAGCUAAUACCUUGCUGUUUUGACGUUACCGACAGAAUAAGCACCGGCUAACUCUGUGCCAGCAGCCGCGGUAAUACAGAGGGUGCAAGCGUUAAUCGGAAUUACUGGGCGUAAAGCGCGCGUAGGUGGUUUGUUAAGUUGGAUGUGAAAGCCCCGGGCUCAACCUGGGAACUGCAUCCAAAACUGGCAAGCUAGAGUACGGUAGAGGGUGGUGGAAUUUCCUGUGUAGCGGUGAAAUGCGUAGAUAUAGGAAGGAACACCAGUGGCGAAGGCGACCACCUGGACUGAUACUGACACUGAGGUGCGAAAGCGUGGGGAGCAAACAGGAUUAGAUACCCUGGUAGUCCACGCCGUAAACGAUGUCAACUAGCCGUUGGAAUCCUUGAGAUUUUAGUGGCGCAGCUAACGCAUUAAGUUGACCGCCUGGGGGAGUACGGCCGCAAGGGUAAAAACUCAAUGAAAUUGACGGGGGCCCGCACAAGCGGUGGGAGCAUGUGGUUUUAAUUCGAAGCAACCGCGCAAGAACC